AUCAAAGUGAAAGGUCAAGAUU
rnacentral:miRNA from 1 species